AAAUGGGACUUUGGAGAAUGUAUUGGAGAUGAUUUGGUAUUGAGAAAUAUAAUUGGUGACUAAUUAGAUGACGGGAAUUAAGUGGUAAAUAUUUAAGACACUUGAGGAAUUAGUGGGAAUUGGGAGCAAUGACUAAAAUGCCCUUAGAAUGUUUAAGGUUUAGUUAUUAUUGGGAGGGCAAGGUGGUCAUUUGGCUUAUUUAAGGUUAGGCUAUAUUCUGCUUUAUGAUGUUAGUGGAGGUUGUAGAUAAACUUAGAAACUUAAGGAAAAGAAAAGAAGAAGGAAAGAAAGAAAAACAGAACACUUAGAGUUAUCUCACUCUCUCUCAUUCGGCUGGGUCAUCUCUUCACCAUUCCUUGUGGGUUUUGGAGCUGGAAUUCUAGAGCAAGCUCAGGAUGGAGCUUAGGGCUAGGGACUUUGGUGAAGCUUAAAGAACUAGCAGAGUUAAGCCAGUCAAUUGAGGUAAGUUUUAAGGUUUUCUGAUGUGAAUUUCUGAGUUUUAAUGAGAUAGUUUUUAAGUUUGAGUUUUGGAUGGAAUAAAGGGAUAUGAACCUGAGGAGUUGAAGGGCUUGAGGCUGGUUGGAUGCUAGAAACGAUUCUACAGCUGAGGUGCUAAGCUAGGGCUCAGGGAUCGCGCUCAAGGAGCAUCGCUUGUAGCUAGCUCGUUUGAAAGCCAAAGGUAAAGGCAAGGGUAGGCUGAGUCAACCAUGAGUUGGAGAGCUAUGGGGGCGGGGUGUACAUUGUCAGCUGCUCGGCCGCCACGGUCGAGGAAUUGUACAGGAACGGAAACCUAAAAUGUAUAUUUUGCCAUUAGAGUGGCUUAAAUUGUUUGUAACUCUUGGAGUUUGCUGUAACUAAGUCGUUUAAACCCUGUUUUGAGUUUUCAUGUAUUAAACUGUCAUUUUAAAUGAAAAUAGCCUGUUUAUGACCAAAAUCUUUUAUUCCUAACUUGUUGAUGACAUUGAAUUCACAUUUCGUUUAAAUGACUUGAUUAGCAAGUCCCGCACUAUUUUAAACACA